rnacentral:rRNA from 1 species
GGAGGGUGCGAGCGUUAAUCGGAAUAACUGGGCGUAAAGGGCACGCAGGCGGUGACUUAAGUGAGGUGUGAAAGCCCCGGGCUUAACCUGGGAAUUGCAUUUCAUACUGGGUCGCUAGAGUACUUUAGGGAGGGGUAGAAUUCCACGUGUAGCGGUGAAACGCGUAGAGAUGUGGAGGAAUACCGAAGGCGAAGGCAGCCCCUUGGGAAUGUACUGACGCUCAUGUGCGAAAGCGUGGGGAGCAAACAGGAUUAGAUACCCUGGUAGUCCACGCUGUAAACGAUGUCGAUUUGGGGGUUGAACUUUAGGUUUGGCGCCCGUAGCUAACGUGAUAAAUCGACCGCCUGGGGAGU